rnacentral:rRNA from 1 species
UACGUAGGGUGCGGGCGUUGUCCGGAAUUACUGGGCGUAAAGAGCUUGUAGGUGGUUUGUCGCGUUGUUCGUGAAAUCUCACGGCUCAACUGUGAGCGUGCGGGCGAUACGGGCAGACUAGAGUACUGCAGGGGAGACUGGAAUUCCUGGUGUAGCGGUGGAAUGCGCAGAUAUCAGGAGGAACACCGGUGGCGAAGGCGGGUCUCUGGGCAGUAACUGACGCUGAGAAGCGAAAGCGUGGGGAGCGAACAGG